GAUGAACGCUGGCGGCGUGCUUAACACAUGCAAGUCGAACGAAGCAUUUAGGACAGAUUACUUUGGUUUGAAGUUCUUUAUGACUGAGUGGCGGACGGGUGAGUAACGCGUGGGUAACCUGCCUUGUACUGGGGGAUAGCAGCUGGAGACGGCUGGUAAUACCGCAUAAGCGCACAAUGUUGCAUGACAUGGUGUGAAAAACUCCGGGGGUAUAAGAUGGACCCGCGUCUGAUUAGCUAGUUGGUGAGAUAACAGCCCACCAAGGCGACGAGCAGUAGCCGACCUGAGAAGGUGACCGGCCAGAUUGGGACUGAGACACGGCCCAGACUCCUACGGGGGGCAGCAGUGGGGAAUAUUGCACAAUGGAGGAAACUCUGAUGCAGCGACGCCGCGUGAGUGAAGAAGUAAUUCGUAAUGUAAAGCUCUAUCAGCAGAGAAGAUAGUGACGGUACCUGACUAAGAAGCGCCGGCUAAAUACGUG
rnacentral:rRNA from 1 species